UAGGGAAUCUUCGGCAAUGGGGGGCAACCCUGACCGAGCAACGCCGCGUGAGUGAAGAAGGUUUUCGGAUCGUAAAGCUCUGUUGUAAGAGAAGAACGUGUGUGAGAGUGGAAAGUUCACACAGUGACGGUAACUUACCAGAAAGGGACGGCUAACUACGUGCCAG
rnacentral:rRNA from 1 species